AGGACGAACGCUGGCGGCGUGCUUAACACAUGCAAGUCGAACGGAAAGGCCCGCUUGCGGGUACUCGAGUGGCGAACGGGUGAGUAACACGUGGGCAACCUGCCCUCAGCUUCGGGAUAACUCUCGGAAACGGGUGCUAAUACCGAAUGUUGACAUUUUCUCGCAUGGGGUUGUGUUGAAAGUUUUUUCGGCUGGGGAUGGGCCCGCGGCCUAUCAGCUUGUUGGUGGGGUGAUGGCCUACCAAGGCGACGACGGGUAGCCGGCCUGAGAGGGCGAUCGGCCACACUGGAACUGAGACACGGUCCAGACUCCUACGGGAGGCAGCAGUGGGGAAUAUUGCGCAAUGGGCGGAAGCCUGACGCAGCGACGCCGCGUGAGGGAUGAAGGUCUUCGGAUUGUAAACCUCUUUCAGUAGGGACGAAUUUAGACGGUACCUGCAGAAGAGCACCGGCCAACUACGUGCCAGCAGCCGC
rnacentral:rRNA from 1 species